rnacentral:misc_RNA from 1 species
GACAGAGGGUGCUAGCGUUGUUCGGAAUUACUGGGCGUAAAGCGCGCGCAGGCGGUUUGCCAAGUCGGAAGUGAAAUCCCGGGGCUCAACCCCGGGGCUGCUCCCGAAACUGGCAGACUGGAGACCGGUAGAGGCUGGUGGAAUUCCUGGUGUAGCGGUGGAAUGCGUAGAUAUCAGGAAGAACACCCGUGGCGAAGGCGGCCAGCUGGGCCGGGUCUGACGCUGAGGCGCGAAAGCGUGGGGAGCAAACAGG